rnacentral:ncRNA from 1 species
ACCAAACCGUUGACGCGGAGAUAAAGGUGAUCAUGAUCCCACAGAGAGCCGGCGAUGCUGAGAAUCCGGCGGAAGACUAGUCAUCAAAUGGACCGCUGAGGGUGCAGUCAAAUGCGAUAUAGCAAAGUAUUCUGCAACGCGAGGGCAUGCGUUACUUGCCGGGGAUAUGAUAGUAUCCUGCUAAGUGCACGACAUUUGUCGUGAAUCAAGGUGGCACCGCGAAUCAUUUCGUCCUUGAC